rnacentral:rRNA from 1 species
CACGUAGGGCGCGAGCGUUGUCCGGAAUUAUUGGGCGUAAAGAGCUCGUAGGCGGCCUGUUGCGUCCGCUGUGAAAGCCCGGGGCUUAACCCCGGGUCUGCAGUGGAUACGGGCAGGCUAGAGGUAGGUAGGGGAGAAUGGAAUUCCCGGUGUAGCGGUGAAAUGCGCAGAUAUCGGGAGGAACACCAAUGGCGAAGGCAGCACUCUGGGACGGUACUGACGCUGAGACGCGAAAGCGUGGGGAGCGAACAGG